rnacentral:rRNA from 1 species
AACGAACGCUGGCGGCAUGCCUAACACAUGCAAGUCGAACGAGACCUUCGGGUCUAGUGGCGCACGGGUGCGUAACGCGUGGGAACCUGCCCUUAGGUUCGGAAUAACUCCCCGAAAGGGGUGCUAAUACCGGAUAAUGUCUUCGGACCAAAGAUUUAUCGCCUUUGGAUGGGCCCGCGUUGGAUUAGCUAGUUGGUAGGGUAAAAGCCUACCAAGGCGACGAUCCAUAGCUGGGCUGAGAGGAUGAUCAGCCACACUGGGACUGAGACACGGCCCAGACUCCUACGGGAGGCAGCAGUGGGGAAUAUUGGACAAUGGGCGAAAGCCUGAUCCAGCAAGGCCGCGUGAGUGAUGAAGGCCUUAGGGUUGUAAAGCUCUUUUACCCGGGAUGAUAAUGACAGUACCGGGAGAAUAAGCUCCGGCUAACUCCGUG